GCAAGUCGAGCGAACGGACGAGAAGCUUGCUUCUCUGAUGUUAGCGGCGGACGGGUGAGUAACACGUGGAUAACCUACCUAUAAGACUGGGAUAACUUCGGGAAACCGGAGCUAAUACCGGAUAAUAUUUUGAACCGCAUGGUUCAAAAGUGAAAGACGGUCUUGCUGUCACUUAUAGAUGGAUCCGCGCUGCAUUAGCUAGUUGGUAAGGUAACGGCUUACCAAGGCAACGAUGCAUAGCCGACCUGAGAGGGUGAUCGGCCACACUGGAACUGAGACACGGUCCAGACUCCUACGGGAGGCAGCAGUAGGGAAUCUUCCGCAAUGGGCGAAAGCCUGACGGAGCAACGCCGCGUGAGUGAUGAAGGUCUUCGGAUCGUAAAACUCUGUUAUUAGGGAAGAACAUAUGUGUAAGUAACUGUGCACAUCUUGACGGUACCUAAUCAGAAAGCCACGGCUAACUACGUGCCAGCAGCCGCGGUAAUACGUAGGUGGCAAGCGUUAUCCGGAAUUAUUGGGCGUAAAGCGCGCGUAGGCGGUUUUUUAAGUCUGAUGUGAAAGCCCACGGCUCAACCGUGGAGGGUCAUUGGAAACUGGAAAACUUGAGUGCAGAAGAGGAAAGUGGAAUUCCAUGUGUAGCGGUGAAAUGCGCAGAGAUAUGGAGGAACACCAGUGGCGAAGGCGACUUUCUGGUCUGUAACUGACGCUGAUGUGCGAAAGCGUGGGGAUCAAACAGGAUUAGAUACCCUGGUAGUCCACGCCGUAAACGAUGAGUGCUAAGUGUUAAGGGGUUUCCGCCCCUUAGUGCUGCAGCUAACGCAUUAAGCACUCCGCCUGGGGAGUACGACCGCAAGGUUGAAACUCAAAGGAAUUGACGGGGACCCGCACAAGCGGUGGAGCAUGUGGUUUAAUUCGAAGCAACGCGAAGAACCUUACCAAAUCUUGACAUCCUUUGACAACUCUAGAGAUAGAGCCUUCCCCUUCGGGGGACAAAGUGACAGGUGGUGCAUGGUUGUCGUCAGCUCGUGUCGUGAGAUGUUGGGGUUAAGUCCCGCAACGAGCGCAACCCUUAAGCUUAGUUGCCAUCAUUAAGUUGGGCACUCUAAGUUGACUGCCGGUG
rnacentral:rRNA from 1 species